UGGCGCACGGGCGAGUAAUAUAUAAGCAAUCUACCCAUAGGUUUGGGAUAACGUCGAGAAAUCGGCGCUAAUACCGUAUAAUGCAGCGGCAUCGCAUGAUGAUGUUGUUAAAGUUCUUGAAACGCCUAUGGAUGAGCUUGUAUCUGAUUAGCUUGUUGGUGAGGUAACGGCUCACCAAGGCAAUGAUCAGUAGCUGGUCUGAGAGGAUGAUCAGCCACAUUGGAACUGAGACACGGUCCAGACUCCUACGGGAGGCAGCAGUGAGGAAUAUUGGGCAAUGGGCGAAAGCCUGACCCAGCAACGCCGCGUGGAGGAUGAAUGUCGUAAGAUUGUAAACUCCUUUUAGAGGGGACGAAAAAACAGGUUAGAAGCCUGAAUUGACGGUACCCUCAGAAUAAGCCCCGGCUAACUACGUG
rnacentral:rRNA from 1 species